UACGUAGGGGGCAAGCGUUGUCCGGAAUCAUUGGGCGUAAAGAGCGUGUAGGCGGCUUGGUAAGUCCGCUGUGAAAGUCCAGGGCUCAACCCUGGAAUGCCGGAUGGAAACCUGGUCAGGCUCGAGUCCGGAAGAAGGCGAAGUGGAAUUCCUGGUGUAGGCGGUGAAAUGCGCAGAUAUCAGGAGGAACACCAAUGGCGAAGGCAGCUCGCUGGGACGGUACUGACGCUGAGACGCGAAAGCGUGGGGAGCAAACAGG
rnacentral:rRNA from 1 species